UUUUAUUAGGAUCUCCCCCUUGUGUUAUAUUCCCGCCAUGGUAAACGAUUGGAUGCCCGCUGCGGCGAUAGAAUUCGCCACCAAGCGAAAAGCGUUUAGCAUCCACUGGGGAGGUACGCCGGCACGGUGAACUCAAGGAUGACGGGGGCCCGCACAAGCGGAGGAACAUGUGGUUUAAUUCGAUGAUACGCGAGGAACCUUUACCCGGGCUUGAACUGCAGCAGAACGAUGGAGAGAUCUGAGGCCCUUCGGGGCUGCUGUGGAGGUGCUGCAUGGUUGUCGUCAGCUCGUGCCGUGAGGUGUCGGCUUAAGUGCCAUAACGAGCGCAACCCCUUUCGCCAGUUGCCAUCAGGUGAUGCUGGGCACUCCGGCGACACUGCCACCAUAAGGUGCGAGGAAGGUGGGGAUGACGUCAAAUCAGCACGGCCCUUACGUCCGGGGCUACACACGUGUUACAAUGGGGUGUACAAAAGAGUAAACGGCCGGCAACGUCCGCUCAAUCAAGAAAGCAUCCCUCAGUUCGGAUUGGGGUCUGCAACCCGACCCCAUGAAGCUGGAUUCGCUAGUAAUCGCGCAUCAGCCAUGGCGCGGUGAAUACGUUCCCGGGCCUUGUACACACCGCCCGUCAAGCCAUGAAAGCCGGGGGCGCCUGAAGUCCGUGACCGCGAGGGUCGGCCUAGGGUGAAACCGGUGAUUGGGGCU
rnacentral:rRNA from 1 species